UACAGAGGUCUCAAGCGUUGUUCGGAUUCAUUGGGCGUAAAGGGUGCGCAGGUGGCGAGGCAAGUCGGAUGUGAAAUCCCGGGGCUCAACCCCGGAACUGCAUUCGAUACUGCCUUGCUAGAGUGCUGGAGAGGAGAUUGGAAUUUACGGUGUAGCAGUGAAAUGCGUAGAUAUUGGGAAGAACACCGGUGGCGAAGGCGGCUCACUGGCUCAUUACUGACGCUCAGGCGCGACAGCGUGGGGAUCAAACAGG
rnacentral:rRNA from 1 species